rnacentral:tRNA from 20 species
GGAGGGAUUCCCGAGUGGCCAAAGGGGGCAGACUGUAAAUCUGUUGGCUCAGCCUUCGAAGGUUCGAAUCCUUCUCCCUCCACCA